AUGGUAUAUUUUAUUUACAGAGCUUUUUUCUCCUUUCCUUUCUUCCUUCCUUCCUUCCUUCCUUCCUUCCUUCCUUCCUUCCUUCCUUCCUUCCUUCCUUCCUUCCUUCCUUCCUUCCUUCCUUCCCUCCUUUCUUCCUUCCUUCCUCUUUCUUUCUUUCUUUCUUUCUUUCUUUCUUUCUUUCUUUCUUUCUUUCUUUCUUUCUUUCUUUCUUUCUUUCUUUCUUUCUUUCUUUCUUUCUUUCUUUCUUUUUUCCUUUUUUCCUUCCUUCCUUCCUUCCUUCCUUCCUUCCUUCCUUCCUUCCUUCCUUCCUUCCUUCCUUCCUUCCUUCCUUCCUUCCUUCCUUCCUUCCUUCCUUUCUGGUAAGUUGUAACUUCAGAGUUGCUUUAAUUUGCAUUUCUCUAAUUUUUAGUGAUUUGAAGGAUGUUUUCAUAUACCUGUAGAAAGCCCACUUUUUACCCAUCAACCACUGGUUCCUGUAAUUCUUAUUGACCUUAAAGUGUAGGAAAUCUGUAUUGUCUUGGCCCUCUUCCUUCUUUAUACUGUCUCUCCUCAGUGGUCUCUUCCUCUCCCAUGUCUUGAACUAUUAACUCUUGAGAUGAUUCCUAAUCCUACUUCUUCCUCCUUGGCAUCUCCCUAGAGCUACAGUUCCAUAUUUCCAACUGACUAUGAAACAUGUCCUUAACUUCCUGCCAACAUUUCAUACUCAGCAUGUUCACAACAGGACUCAGGAUCAUUCUCCCCAAACUCCCUUUAACUGUUCUGUUUAUGUUGAUGGUAUCACUAUUCUCUAAUCAUUCAAAUUCGGAACUUCAGAGUCAUCAUUGACUCUUUUCUUUCCUCACCUCCUACACCCAAUCAGUUGUCAGGUCCUGUAAAAUGUUGUCUAUGGACUGCUUUCCACUUCCAUUGCUAUCAACCUGGCUUAGGCUUUAUACGGUAUUCACUGGCUUUAUUAUAAUGGCCUCCUAAGUGGUUUCCCAGCCUCUGUACUUUAACCCAAGAUUCAUAUUACAACUAAACUAAUCUUUCUAACACAUAGUUUAAUAGGAUGUAAGCUCCUUAAGGACAGAUACUGUCUCAUUUGUGUGUGUGUAUACACAUACAUAUAUUUUGGGUGUGUAAAUAUAUAAAAAAAUAAUUGUGUGUAUACACUUGUAUGUUGUAGUAAGCAAAGAAAGACUGCAUUAAGCGAAGCAUAAGCAUGUGACUCAGAAACUCAUGAGAGCCUGGGUCAACAUUCCAAAUGUGACGUGGGUUCCAACUGAACAACAGUUUUUUCUUCUGGAGCAGAAAUAGGAGCAGUAAGUGCGGCUGGUAGCUACAAUUUCAACAAUACAAAGAUACCACACUGGUCCUUAGAAGACAUCAGCUGUGGAGAGGGACUACUUCAGCCAGACUGCAGGUCAGGUGGACUGGAGAGUAUAAGGAAGAUUCAUCUACUUGGCUGAGAGCUGUUAUCUUUCCUUUUGGACUAUGGCCCAUUGGACUCAACUUUGUGAGAUACUAUUUAUGUGGGACUUAGCUUAGGAGGUUAGUCAAUAUAAUAGUUAUUAGGGAAAAUUAGUUUUGGGGAUAAGAUUUAGAAAUUUUCCUUCUCCUUGUUACCCUCAUUCCUAUUCCAUUUCCCCAUUAAUAAACUCAAAAUAUUUAGAACCUCUUGUUUCUUC
ensembl:lncRNA